GCCUGGUGGACCAGAGUUCUGCGCCGCGUCCGCCGCCCUUAAAGGGCCCGCGUCCGGGAAGCUUCCGGGCCAGGGCCACCGCCGCCUCCGCUCUCCCGGCGCGAGCGGACGCCGGGUCUCCGGCCGGGCCAGGCCGGGCCGGGCCGGGAUUGUGGGUCGCGGUGCCGCCCACGCGAGCUGGGGUCCGCGUGAGGCCCAGGAGCGGCUCCAGGGAGGGGACGCGUCCUAUCUCUGGCCGGGGUUAAAGUUCUGGUCCCGGUGAGAUGCUGGAAGCUGCUGCGGCAGCCGCAACGCGCCCGGUCGCCGUCCUGUCGCCAACCCCCGCCGCCCCGGGCCAUGUUCGCCCGGCGUCUGUCCUUGUGCGCGCUCCUGGUGGUCGCCGUCGAGAGCCACCUGGGGGCUCUGGGGCCCAAGAACGUCUCUCAGAAAGACGCGGAGUUUGAGCGCACCUACGCGGACGACGUCAACAGCGAGCUUCUCAACAUCUACACCUUCAAUCACACCGUGACCCGCAACCGGACUGAGGGCGUGCGAGUUUCUGUGAACAUCCUGAACAAGCAGAAGGGGGCACCUUUGCUGUUCGUGGUCCGCCAGAAAGAGGCUGUUGUAUCCUUCCAGGUGCCCCUAAUCCUGCGAGGGCUGUAUCAGCGUAAGUACCUCUACCAAAAAGUUGAACGAACUCUGUGUCAGCCCCCCACCAAGAAUGAGUCAGAGGUCCAGUUUUUCUAUGUGGAUGUGUCCACCCUGUCACCAGUCAACACCACUUACCAGCUCCGAGUCAACAGAGUGGACAAUUUUGUACUCAGGACUGGAGAGCCAUUUACCUUCAAUACCACUGCAGCCCAGCCCCAGUACUUCAAAUAUGAGUUUCCUGAUGGUGUAGACUCUGUAAUUGUCAAAGUGACAUCCAAGAAGGCCUUCCCCUGCUCAGUCAUCUCCAUCCAGGAUGUCCUAUGUCCUGUCUAUGAUCUAGAUAACAACGUAGCCUUCAUCGGCAUGUACCAGACUAUGACUAAGAAGGCAGCCAUCACUGUGCAGCGGAAAGACUUCCCCAGUAACAGCUUUUAUGUAGUGGUGGUGGUGAAGACUGAGGACCAGGCUUGUGGAGGGUCCUUGCCCUUCUAUCCUUUUGUGGAAGAUGAACCAGUGGAUCAAGGGCAUCGUCAGAAAACCCUAUCAGUGCUGGUUUCUCAAGCUGUCACAUCUGAGGCCUAUGUUGGUGGUAUGCUCUUCUGCCUGGGCAUAUUCCUCUCCUUCUACCUGCUGACUGUACUCCUGGCCUGCUGGGAGAACUGGAGGCAAAGGAAGAAGACUCUGCUGGUGGCCAUAGACCGAGCCUGCCCAGAAAGUGGUCAUCAUCGGGUCUUGGCUGAUUCCUUUCCUGGCAGUGCCCCUUACGAGGGUUACAACUAUGGCUCCUUUGAAAAUGCUUCCGGAUCCACUGAUGGGCUGGCUGAAAGCACAGGUUCAGGGGACGUCUCUUACGGUUACCAGGGGCACGACCAGUUCAAGCGGCGCCUUCCCUCUGGCCAGAUGCGGCAGCUGUGCAUUGCCAUGGACCGCUCCUUUGACCCAGUGGGUACUCGGCCUCGAUUGGACUCCAUGAGCUCUGUGGAAGAGGAUGACUAUGACACGUUGACUGACAUUGAUUCAGACAAAAAUGUUAUUCGCACCAAGCAAUACCUCUGUGUGGCUGAUCUGGCACGAAAGGACAAACGUGUUUUGCGGAAAAAGUACCAGAUUUACUUCUGGAACAUAGCCACCAUUGCGGUCUUCUACGCCCUUCCUGUGGUGCAGCUGGUCAUCACCUACCAGACGGUGGUGAAUGUCACAGGGAACCAGGACAUCUGCUACUACAACUUCCUCUGUGCCCACCCACUGGGCAACCUCAGCGCCUUCAACAACAUCCUCAGCAACCUGGGGUACAUCCUGCUGGGGCUGCUCUUCCUACUCAUCAUUCUGCAGCGAGAGAUCAAUCACAACCGGGCCCUGAUGCGGAAUGACCUCUACGCUCUGGAGUGUGGGAUCCCCAAACACUUUGGUUUGUUCUAUGCCAUGGGCACAGCGCUGAUGAUGGAGGGGCUGCUGAGUGCCUGUUACCACGUCUGCCCCAACUAUACCAACUUCCAGUUUGACACAUCAUUCAUGUAUAUGAUUGCCGGCCUCUGCAUGCUGAAGCUCUACCAGAAGCGGCACCCAGAUAUCAACGCCAGUGCCUACAGUGCAUAUGCCUGCUUGGCCAUUGUCAUCUUCUUCUCCGUUCUGGGCGUGGUUUUUGGCAAAGGGAACACAGCCUUCUGGAUCGUCUUCUCGGUCAUCCAUAUCAUUUCCACCCUGCUCCUCAGCACACAGCUCUACUACAUGGGCCGUUGGAAGUUGGACUCUGGCAUCUUCCGCCGCAUCCUCCACGUGCUCUACACAGACUGCAUCCGGCAGUGCAGCGGGCCUCUUUAUACGGACCGCAUGGUACUUCUGGUCAUGGGCAACAUUAUCAACUGGUCUCUGGCUGCAUAUGGACUUAUCAUGCGCCCCAAUGACUUUGCCUCCUACUUGCUGGCAAUUGGCAUCUGCAACCUACUGCUGUAUUUCGCCUUCUACAUCAUUAUGAAGCUCCGCAGUGGAGAGAGGAUCAAGCUUAUCCCCCUACUCUGCAUCAUCUGCACCUCUGUGGUCUGGGGCUUUGCGCUUUUCUUCUUCUUCCAAGGACUCAGCACAUGGCAGGCUGCUGGCCCUGUCCCUCUGCCAGAAAACCCCCGCAGAGUCCAGGGAACACAACCGUGACUGUAUCCUGCUUGACUUCUUUGAUGACCACGACAUCUGGCACUUCCUGUCCUCCAUUGCCAUGUUUGGGUCCUUCCUGGUUUUGCUGACAUUGGAUGACGACUUGGACACAGUACAGCGGGACAAGAUCUAUGUCUUCUAGCAGCAUCCUAGGAUCCAGGCUUCACCUCAUGGGGGCCCCAAGCGCCUCUGCAUCACCUGCCAGGUGCCACCAUAGCACCAAGGGUGUGAGUCCCGGCUCUGCUGGCCAGUGUUGGAUGGCGUGGCAGGACUUGGAGAUUCCAGCCCAGGCCUGACUCAGGACAGUUGCUGGUGGCAUCGAGCCUUGCAGUUGCCUCUGCUGUGGAAGAGGCCUGCUCUCCAUUCCUCAAACACUGGCCAAAUUGCUGCUUUCUUCUCAGUGUUGGGUCCUCCCGAGGACCCUUGUCCAUCCAUCUGUCUCGUCUAUCCACUGGCUCUCCAUUUGUCCCUUUGGAGAAGGAAGGUGGGAGGGCAAUGCCCUGUCCCAUUUCAUGCCUUUCAUUCUCCCUCUCAACGUAGGACCCCCAGCCUGCCCUUGCUCUCAUGCUCUGCUCUAGAACCCUGGUCUGGUGCCCGAUUCUCUGUCCAGCACCAGGACCCCAAUUCUCUCUGGGUCUACAGCUGGCUGCUAUCACUGCCCACUCUGGCCUGCCAGGAUGGAUGCAGGUAGGAGACUUUGGGGGCUGGCCAACUGGUGCCAGGUUAAUGGUGCUAAGGGCUGCAAGGGCCUAGGUACGACCUUCCUCCCUCUGCCCUGUGCUUGGAGCUGGCUCUUGAGCAGUGAGUCAGUCCAGUUGGAGUCUGAUCUGGGGGCUGAACUCAGAGGUCACUUCCUCAUCCCACCAGCCACCAGAAUGAUGCCAGCACCAGGGUUGGUGGGAAGUGGCAACUCACUGUCCCCUUGCACACCCACAGUCCUGCCAAGCCCCAGCUGGGGAUCUCUCAGUGCCAUUGACACUGCCCAAGAAUGUCAGAGGCCAUGGAGGAAUGGUGCCAAGCACACAGCCCCUUUUGCCUCUUUCACGGGAGCAGGAGCCCCAGUGCCUGCUUUAGAAAGGGAGGGACAUGCCAGGUCCCUGUUUGUCCCUGGCCCUGCCUCACUAUAGGACUCAGGGCUGGCUUCUGAGUUUCCGUCCAGUAUUUAGCCAAGUUCUGUGUUAGUCACAUGGGCCUAAGAGCCUUGGUGUUUACAUGGAGUCACCCAGCUCUGGGCCCUGGCCACUCUGGUCCUUGGCUCCGUUUCACUCCACCAAGUCCAUUCCGGAUGCCAAGGGGUUGGGGUCCUGGAAUGUAUUUCAUUCUGUCCACCAUGUUUUUAUAGCUCUGGCUGGGAAAGAGGCAGGUCUGGGUCUUUGUUUCAUAGCUCUGUCCUGUGUCUCCAUGCUAUGGUUGCAAUUCUGUUUCUAUGAAUGAGUACAUUCAAUAAAGACAACCAGACCUGA